rnacentral:rRNA from 1 species
UGCGUACCAUUAGUUAGUUGGUGAGGUAAAGGCUCACCAAUGCGAUGAUGGUUAGGGGUCCUGAGAGGGUAGUCCCCCACACUGGUACUGAGACACGGACCAGACUCCUACGGGAGGCAGCAGUGAGGAAUAUUGGUCAAUGGGCGCUAGCCUGAACCAGCCAUGCCGCGUGCAGGAAGACGGCCCUACGGGUUGUAAACUGCUUUUCUGCAGGAAGAAUAUAUAGUCUUAGGGGUAUAUUGACGGUACUGCAGGAAUAAGCAUCGGCUAACUCCGUGCCAGCAGCCGCGGUAAUACGGAGGAUGCAAGCGUUAUCCGGAUUCAUUGGGUUUAAAGGGUGCGCAGGCUGUAAGGCAAGUCAGUGGUGAAAGCCCUGGGCUUAACUCAGGGAUUGCCAUUGAAACUGUUUUACUAGAGUGUAGUAGAGGACGGCGGAAUGAGUUGUGUAGCGGUGAAAUGCAUAGAUAUAACUCAGAACACCUAUUGCGUAGGCAGCUGUCUAUACUACAACUGACGCUGAGGCACGAAAGCGUGGGGAGCGAACAGGAUUAGAUACCCUGGUAGUCCACGCUGUAAACGAUGAUCACUCGUUGUUGGCUACUUAGUAGUCAGUGACCAAGGGAAACCGAUAAGUGAUCCACCUGGGGAGUACGUCGGCAACGAUGAAACUCAAAGGAAUUGACGGGGGCCCGCACAAGCGGAGGAACAUGUGGUUUAAUUCGAUGAUACGCGAGGAACCUUACCUGGGCUUAAAUGCUGGCUGCAUUGGAGGGAAACCUUCAUUUCCUACGGGACCGCCAGCAAGGUGCUGCAUGGUUGUCGUCAGCUCGUGCCGUGAGGUGUCGGGUUAAGUCCCAUAACGAGCGCAACCCCUAUCGCUAGUUGCCAGCAUGUAAUGGUGGGGACUCUAGCGAGACUGCCGGUGUAAACCGGAGGAAGGUGGGGAUGACGUCAAAUCAGCACGGCCCUUACGUCCAGGGCUACACACGUGUUACAAUGGCCGGUACAAAGAGCAGCCACCUGGCGACAGGGCGCUAAUCUCAAAAACCGGUCUCAGUUCGGAUCGAAGUCUGCAAUUCGACUUCGUGAAGGUGGAUUCGCUAGUAAUCGCGCAUCAGCCAUGGCGCGGUGAAUAAGUUCCCGGGCCUUGUACACA